CUUCUUCCCUCUCCAUCCCAAAAUUCUUGUCUUAGUUUUGUUUAGAAAUGGAUGUAUCCAAAUACUAAAACUUGACUAGAUACAUUCAUAUCUAAACAAAUUUAAGACAAGAAUUUUGGGACGGGGGGAGUACUAG
rnacentral:pre_miRNA from 1 species